AGAAAUCGAAAGGGUUGGCUGGAAACCCAGUUGCGGGUCCAGAAGUUCGUCCAGCCUGUGAAUCUGCAGAGGAUGUUUCAUCCUUGGGAUUUGUGUUCUCUGCUGUGCCAGCUUUGUCAUCUAAGAAAAUCUCAACAUUUGAAACCUGAGUACAAGCAGGGAGAUAAGGUACUAACUGUGUUUCAAUGGAAAAUAAAAUAAAAUAAAUAAAUAA